rnacentral:tRNA from 1 species
AAGGGAGACCUAAUUCGGGUAUAAGACGAAAACAGAGUAGUCGAAACCAAGAAUCAAUCCCAAAAGGUCGGAACGAGGUAUGUGGCUUUCAAACUAGGUUCUGGGUUCACACAAGACCUGAAUCAGGAACAAGGGCUAUUAGCUCAGGUGGUUAGAGCGCACCCCUGAUAAGGGUGAGGUCCCUGGUUCGAGUCCAGGAUGGCCCACCUGCACAGGUGGCAAAAACAAAGAAGCGAGGAAUCAGCACCUUAUCUUAUCUAUAUAUAAGAGAGAAUGCUGGCUCUGAGUAAAGAGUCCAGAGGAACCUUGAAAACUGCAUAGAGCUAGGUGAAAAAGCCAAAAAAGAAGACCGCAA